rnacentral:tRNA from 1 species
GAGGAGGACCAAUGCAAGAGCUGCUAACUCCUGCCCCCAAGUCUGACCCCCUGGCCCCCUCG